AGUGAACGCUGGCGGCAGGCCUAAUACAUGCAAGUCGAACGGCAGCACAGCAGAGCUUGCUCUGUGGGUGGCGAGUGGCGGACGGGUGAGGAAUACGUGGGAAUCUGCCCAGUCGUGGGGAUAACGUAGGGAAACUUACGCUAAUACCGCAUGCGCCCUUCGGGGAAAGCCGGGGACCUUCGGGCCUGGCGCGAUUGGAUGAGCCCACGUCGGAUUAGCUAGUUGGCGGGAUAAAGGCCCACCAAGGCGACGAUCCGUAGCUGGUCUGAGAGGAUGAUCAGCCACACUGGAACUGAGACACGGUCCAGACUCCUACGGGAGGCAGCAGUAGGGAAUAUUGGACAACGGGCGCAAGCCUGAUCCAGCCAUGCCGCGUGAGUGAAGAAGGCCCUCGGGUCGUAAAGCUCUUUUGUCCGGAAAGAAAGCGCCGGGUUAAUACCCUGGUGUCCUGACGGUACCGGAAGAACUAAGCACCGGCUAACUCGUGCCAGCAGCCGCGGUAAU
rnacentral:rRNA from 1 species